GACUUCGCUCCCGCACCGGCAAAAUUCACUUCUCGGCCGGGCGGGAAGCGAAGCAAAAGACGUCCCAUAUGCCAGUCUCAAGCGAGUCUGGCUUGGAGCAGUCGCUAGCAGCCAGCGCAAAAGGCUGCGGGACAGGCAGCA